AGCAUCAUCUCUUAGGGGUGAUUUUUUUUACACUUGUAGAAAUUGUUGCUUUAGUUGGUGUUUUACACAGCGUCUGCCAAGUGAAGGGGGAAUGAAAACCAAUCUUUAAUAAUUACACAAUUUGCUUUUUUUUUCCUUCUUUCUUUUUGAUUUUGAUUUGUCUUCCUGCCCAGUUAUUAUAACAAGUUUUUCUCAGAUCCAGUGAGGUUUUUAAAGGAUUCAGAAUCCCCCGUGAGUAAAGCUCUCUUACCUUUAUCCCCACUAAAGCUGAGCAUAAUAUUAACAUGUUGCCUAUACCUCUUAGCUAUUACAAGGCUGUGACGAGGAUUCUCCAAGGUUAAGGAAUAGUAUAUGUUCUUAAUAGAUUCUAACCCAAUGGAGAUUUCUUUUCUCUUUCCACUGGAUUAGUGUCUAGGAAUUGUACUGUAUUCUUCCCACCAACAAGCAUCUUACUGGAUGUAUCCCUCUUUCCACCCCAGGAGGCUUUGGAGCUCUUCAGGCCAGACUUCAUCAGUCGAUCUCAGGGUCGGGUGAGGAGGUUGGAGCAGAGGGCAAGGAGAAGGAGACUAGCACAGAACUCCAAUCCAGACCUGGUGCAGAGCCUCAGGGAGGAUCGAGGCAAACAAAAGAAGAACUGCACCACUCCGGAUCCACUUAGUGAUAACCUUUUCAAGCCUGGAGAGAGGUCUAUAUCAGACAGAGAGAUGCAGCUGAGGUCCAGACGGAUUUACAACAAGCUGCCGGAGGUAACAAAGAAAAAGGAGGAGGAGAAGAAGAGAGCUGUAUCACAAACCAACAGAUUGCGAGUAGACGUCUUUAAAAAGAGACUUCUGGACCAGAUCCUGCAAAGAUAAAACACCGAAAAGCAAUUGGGGUUAAUUCACUGACUAUUCCAAACUUUUCUACAUGUAUAUUAAAUAUGACUUUGUAUUAAAUUCA